rnacentral:rRNA from 1 species
UACGUAGGGGGCGAGCGUUGUCCGGAAUGAUUGGGCGUAAAGGGCGCGUAGGCGGCGCGGUAAGUCUGGAGUGUAAGUCCUGCUUUCAAGGUGGGAAUUGCUUUGGAUACUGCCGCGCUUGAGUGCAGGAGAGGUUAUCGGAAUUCCCGGUGUAGCGGUGAAAUGCGGAGAGAUCGGGAGGAACACCAGUGGCGAAGGCGGGUAACUGGACUGCAACUGACGCUGAGGCGCGAAAUUGUGGGGAGCAAACAGGAUUAGAUACCCUGGUAGUCCACACUGUAAACGAUGAAUGCUAGGUGUAAGAGGUAUCGACCCCUUUUGUGCCGGAGUCAACACAAUAAGCAUUCCGCCUGGGGAGUACGGCCGCAAGGUUGAAACUCAAAUGAAUGGACGGGG